GUCCAGACUCCUACGGGAGGCAGCAGUGAGGAAUAUUGGUCAAUGGGCGAGAGCCUGAACCAGCCAAGUCGCGUGAGGGAGUACUGCCCUAUGGGUUGUAAACCUCUUUUGUCGGGGAGCAAAAGCCGGACGUGUCCAGCUGUGAGAGUACCCGAAGAAAAAGCAUCGGCUAACUCCGUGCCAGCAGCCGCGGUAAUACGGAGGAUGCGAGCGUUAUCCGGAUUUAUUGGGUUUAAAGGGUGCGCAGGCGGAUUUUUAAGUCAGCGGUCAAAUCGUGGGGCUCAACCCCAUCCAGCCGUUGAAACUGGCUGUCUUGAGAUGUCGAGAGGUAUGCGGAAUGCGCAGUGUAGCGGUGAAAUGCUUAGAUAUUGCGCAGAACUCCGAUUGCGAAGGCAGCAUACCGGCGGCGAUCUGACGCUGAGGCACGAAAGCGUGGGUAUCGAACAGGAUUAGAUACCCCAGUA
rnacentral:rRNA from 1 species